ensembl:snoRNA
AUCCUUUUGUGGUUCAUACGUGUGAUGAUUAGGUUUCCAUGUUCAUGUGUGAGAUCUGCCUCCCUCAAACCGUGUUACAAUGACAUGGGCGCCUUACCUAGCUGACA